UACGUAGGGAGCAAGCGUUGUCCGGAAUCAUUGGGCGUAAAGCGCGCGUAGGCGGCCCCGUAAGUCCGCUGUGAAAGUCAAAGGCUCAACCUUUGAAAGCCGGUGGAUACUGUGGGGCUAGAGUCCGGAAGAGGCGAGUGGAAUUCCUGGUGUAGCGGUGGAAUGCGCAGAUAUCAGGAGGAACACCAAUAGCGAAGGCAGCUCGCUGGGACGGUACUGACGCUGAGACGCGAAAGCGUGGGGAGCGAACAGG
rnacentral:rRNA from 1 species